rnacentral:rRNA from 1 species
AGCAGCCGCGGUAAUUCCAGCUCCAAUAGCGUAUAUUAAAGUUGUUGCAGUUAAAAAGCUCGUAGUUGAAUUUCGGGGUUCUACCGUUGGUCAGGCUAUUGUCUGUACUGGUGUGUAGAAUUUCUACCUUCUGGGGAACUAUCAUGUUAUUAAUUUAGCGUGGUAGGAAACCAGGACCUUUACCUUGAAAAAAUUAGAGUGUUCAAAGCAGGCUUAUGUCUGAAUACAUUAGCAUGGAAUAAUAAAAUAGGACGGUGGUCCUGUUUUGUUGGUUUCUGAAUCACCGUAAUGAUUAAUAGGGAUAGUUGGGGGCAUUAGUAUUCAAUUGUCAGAGGUGAAAUUCUUGGAUUUAUUGAAGACUAACUACUGCGAAAGCAUUUGCCAAGGAUGUUUUCAUUAAUCAAGAACGAAAGUUAGGGGAUCGAAGACGAUCAGAUACCGUCGUAGUCUUAACCAUAAACUAUGCCGACUAGGGAUCGGACGAUGUUAAUUUUUCUUGACUCGUUCGCGCCUUACGGGA